rfam:Triticum aestivum genome assembly, contig: Triticum_aestivum_CS42_TGACv1_scaffold_405471_5BL
AUAGUACUCCCUCCGUCCAGAAAUACUUGUCGGAGGAAUUGACGUAUCUAGACGUAUGUUAGUGUUAGAUACAUCCAUUUUUAAUCAUUUCUACGAUAAAUAUUUCCGGACGGAGGGAGUAUGAG